ensembl:lncRNA
CUCUGAGCCCGGUCCGUACCUCGCUCUGUCAGCGGUUUAUCGGCCCUUAAAAACUUCAGCUUCGCAGGUGCCCUCCUGCCCCCGCAGCCCUCGCUCCAGCAGUCCCUAAUUCAGCCUCAUUUUCGAACUGCAGCCCCUGCCGCCGUUCCAGGCAUCCCGAGCCACUUACUCAUUCUUCCCAAUGCUUGUCGCUGCUAUCCUAAAUAUAGGGUAGUGUGCCAACAGGAGAGGCUCGGGAGCGAGCCGGGGUGCAGGGAACGCCACCGCCGUGUCGGCAGAGCCGUGCUGCUCCCAGCCCGUGCUGCCUGCUUGCUGCAGGCUUUGUGCUGCUUGGGGAGCUGCCGUGAGUUCCUGAAUGGGAUGGGGUUGGUUAUGGUGUGUGCUAACUUAGCGGUGCCCGGGGUAUGAGUCAGUGUGCUCUUUGCACUGCUCUGCACCCGCGGGUCUGUAGGGAUUUGUUAACCCCGAGUGCUUCUCUGCUUUCAGACGUGGCUCACACCAGGCUGAGUGCUGCAGGGCUGCGCUCUGCUCCUCUGGCUGCUGCAGGGCCUGAGGGUGGGCACUGGGGGACACCGGGAUCCCCGCCGGCUUCGUCUGUGAGAGGCACGGCCAGAACUGGCUCAGACCUGACCAUAGCUUAUCUGCCACGGCCGGCUGCUCUGGAGGAAUUCCUGCACGUCUUCUGGCGGCAGAACUUCGCUCUGGCUGCGGGGGGAUGUCGGAGGGAAUGCUGCGUCCUGGUUUGUGCCACACAGAGAGGCACUGCGGUGCUUUGCACCUGAGCCCGGGGUCCCCUCAGCUCUGCUGGAGGAGGUGAGAGGGCGGUGGGGUCACGCUGGUGGCACUGCCGGGCUCCCCUGGCACAGGGGUGAGCCGCAGCGUGCUGCUGGUGCAGCAGAGGUGUGUGGCACAGCAGCAGGAGCGGUGUGAGCUGCCUCUCCGCGUCCCGUCAGCUGAGGAAUAGCGUGGAGGAAUGAAUUCCAGUGAGUUGGAUGAGGAAAAUGUAAACACUGCGUUCUCGUCGGGCAAACAGCAGUCGUGGAAAUAAAUGUCUCUGGGAUUCCUUGUGGUGCUCAUCGACUGCCCGAUCCCUCGUGGUCUCUUGUUGAACUGGUGGGGUGGCUGCUGCUGCUCCCCCAGCUCUGAGUGCUUUGCCAGCAGUUUGGGCAAAACACAAGUAAACACCAUUGGGUUGACCCGGCAUAUCUGAGGUCUUGGUAUGCUGAAAAUGUUUGUUCUUGGGAUGUUUGUGCAGUCUGGAGGGCUCUGUACUUUAAGUCCCAUUUGCUGAGGACUGUGACUUGUUUAAUCUGUCUGAAGAACCUGUGCUUUUGGGGCUUGUUCUGUGAGAUUGAGUAAGUUUGGGCAAAGCCUGGAGGUGCUGCAGGAAGAGAGGUUAGUUCAUUAACCAGCGGUCACGCAGGUGUGCAUAUUUCCUGCUCCGCCGCGUUUUCCUACCUUUGUAUUUUCCUGCAUUUAUUCACUGACUCGAUUCUGGUCUGGAUUGAAGUUCAUUGAAGUGGGAAAGGCGCUCGGGACUGCUUGGUGUUGCUUUGCUUUUCCUGAGUGUGCCGGCCGUGCUGGGCUGCCUGCAUCCUGGGAUGGGCGGUGAAUAGAAGCCGAAGCUCCUGUCUGGAGGGCAGCCUAUGCCUGAGGUGUCAGCAGGGCUCAGGUGAGAUCCCCCACCCCAGGACUGCAUGCCAUUUUCCCCAGUGCUGUGUCCUGCUCAAGGUCACACGGCGUGGCACCGUGGGUUCCCGGAGGCCAGGCUCCCUCUGGGAGGUGCCCUGGCAUCCCCACUGCACCUCCACAUCCUGGGCCAGGUUGUGGGCCUGCUGCUUCUGACAUAUCCAACUUGGGGAGCUCCUGGUGGGCCCCCAGCUUUAGCACAAAGGGUUUGUGCUGGUGGCACUCUUGCUAUGGACGUGAGCAAGCUCCUUCCUGCACGUGGCGGCCAGUCUUUGCUGAGCUGAUCUUUUUUUUUCUUUUUCCCCCUUUUUUUUUAUUCCCCUGGAUUAACUUUCUGCAAAUUAGUAACCCAAAUGGUCACACGAAGGAGUGGAUAAGCACAGAGCCCCAGAGGAGGGGGCCCAGCCUGGAGGAGGAGGAGGAGGCAGCGGGCGCUGGUGCUGCAGCGGUGAGUUAGCACAGGGCACUCUCAAAAGGGCCCUUCUCUUCCCCACUCUCAGCUGUGCCCUCCUGCCUCCUCCCACGUGCCAGCUGUGGUGCUGAGCCCGUGCAUUGAUGAACUGACCCAGCUCGCUUGGCAUUCAAUUGUUCUUUUCAUGGUGGGUUUUUUUUCCGUGUGAGCAUUUCCCUGCUGGUCAGGAGGGGACUCAGACCGGGCUGGCAGGCAGGGAGCCCUCUGCCAGCACGGCUCUCCACUGAGGUCCCUCCUGUGGGGUUACUGCCCUGCUUGCUGCACCUGCAGGUGUGCUGUAGGGCUGCAGGGCCGGGUGGUGAUUCCUGAUGGGAUCCCUAUGUGUUCCCCCUGGCAGAUCCUUGCAUGCGAGGGGCAGGGCGUGGGGACAGCGGUAGAUCCCAUCCCAGCACUGGAGAGGAGAGUGCUCGGUUUCAUGUUGGGGUUUUCUUCAGCAAAACAGGCUCCUGGCCUCAUCUGCUCCGUGAACAGAUGUGUGAAUGAGGGACUCUGCUGACGAGUUCUCCCUUUUUUUUUUUCCUCUUUUCACAUGUUGUGGUCUCACCGCAAUGCUCAGCUGUGGCAUUUGCCAUUGCGGUGACCCUGACCGAGGAUACGGGCUGUAUUUUCUCACGUGCUUUCUGAGAAGAGCUCAGCUCCUGGAGGGCAACGGGGUGGCUUCAGAAAGAUUUCAGAUCCUGGCUCAGAGCUCUACCACAAAUUGCUUUAAAAGCCUCUGUGCAGCGUUGGGUUCUGCAGUGCUCCUCGGGAGGAUCUGACUGGUGGCAUUCCUGCCUGCCUUCGGUGCAGGGAUUGCAGGAGGGGUUUCAGCUUAUUGCAGCACGGCCACGGGUCACUCUGGUGCUGAACACAGGUGAUAAAUUCACACUGCUGCUUUCGGGCACGUUUCAUUUCUUUUUUUUCAACUAGGUUGUACGUUUAGACUUGAGGACGCUUAAUCCUCUGUGAAGAGUGUUCCUCAAGGCUGGCUGUUAGCAUCCCACAGGUUUGAUGGGGGCUUCCAGCAGCAGAUACCGGGCACUUGAUACCAUUCCCCGGGGCUAGGGAUGAGCUGGAGUGUGGAAGGGCUAGGUGGCAGUCAAGGCUGGUGGUUUCCCACUCGAGCAGUGAAUGAUGAGGGGUGAUGUGACAGCCUUAUGCUGCUCCGGCUGCAGCACAGGUCCCUUGUGAGGGUGGCACUGCUUGCUUCUUGCUACCAUUUUUCCCGUUGCCUUAUGCAGGGUCAGCCCAGGGUGGACUCUUUCAGACCCUCUGGGAAAUGCACCUCGUAGCAGAGCUCCUGUAAGGCCCCCAAUGGGUUUCCUUGUGUCCAUGGCUUCUUAGAGGCUUUUCAGGUACAGGGGAGGGGACAGAGAUCUCUGUAACCAAAGGGGCAAUAUCUCCUGAGUCCUUUCUGGCUUCUAUGCAUCGCCCAUAAACUUAUGCUGUACUGUUGCCCUCCAGCUGAGGUGUUUGUUAUCUCCAUGCUGUACUCUGGGGACUCUUACAGGAAGGCCUCACGCAGGGAGCAGAUUCUGAGUGUGAUAGCAGGAGGCAUUGUGAGCCAGAAGGCAGAAGAACUGUACUGCUGGGUGCUGAUACUGAGUGCUUUGGAGCUCUCUUUUUCUCCUCUAACACCUUCCAUCUGGAUCUGCUUCCUCUGAAGGUGAGCACUCAGCUUUUCCCCAGAUCAGGGCUUCUUAGCACCGGAUGACCUUGCAGUCACCUGCAAACACAGCGUGAGGCUGCUGGAAAUCUGAACUGAUGCUUUUGACACUGAGGCUGCGGAGAUGCAAAUAAUCUGGGUUGCAACAGUUUGAUAUUUGCAUCCCAUAGGCUCUCCUGGCACCUGUUGCUGUGUUCUCUGUGCUGGAGGAGUUGGUUCUCUCAUGCAGGACCAUGCCUGGUGGUUUCCCACCCCAGAGAAACUGUUACCAUUGGAGUUUCUAUCAUAAUGCCAGGAGGCACAUUAGGGAAUGAAAGGUGGUUGUUCUGAACUCUGUAUUAAAGGUCUCAGGAUCUUAAAAUUCAGUUCCCUCUCUCCUAUCAGCUCCCCAAAUCUUCGUUCUUUCCUUUCUCCUGCACGCUGCACUGUCGUGCAUGCUUUAUGACAUGUUGAAAAGUGUAAUUUUGGUAAUACUGGCAACGGCUGAGCUUAACAGACUCAGCUUGUGUCACUGACUUGGUGAGCUCUCACUCUGGAUUCACUUAAAGGCUCUGCCCUGUGGUGUAUGUGAGCUGAGUAGGUUCUGAAUGCAGGGUGUGUUGGUGGAUAUCAUCCCCUUCAAGAAAGUACAGAGGAUGCUAAAGCCUCUGUCAUAUCACUACUGCGGGCAGAACACCACGAACCUCGUUAAUAAACUGUUUGUAAGGAAGGGAUAGGAAGGGCACUUCAUAGCCGUAACGAAGCUUGGUAAUCAAAGCUAACACAAAGAAGGGAUUCGGUUGUUACUGGCAAAGACGUGAACUUAUAUCUUUGGGCUUAAAUUGCUGGAGAAAGUGGCAGUGUUGCUGUGUGCGGUGCUGGUGAUAAGCCAGGAUAGAAGUUGUAUCCGGUCCUAUCUGCUCCAUGUGGCUGAGUGAAGGACUCCUGAUUGUCACGGCCAGUUUAGGCAUGAGAAGGGCUGCUAACGGCCUGGGUGGUGAGGUGGGUGAGCUGCUGCUGUUGAGAAGCAGUACUGCAGUCCUGUGGUAUGGCUCAGGCACCACCUGGUCCUCAAACCAGCGUGCCACUGCCACUACCAGGGUCCUGCACACCCCUUACUGCUGGAAACUGGAAUCCUAACUCUCCUCUGCCUUGGUGGCUUUGGAGCUGCAGGCUGGCCGUGGCAGGUGGAUGUGCCUGGUCUGUGGGCAUCUGGGAGCAGGGCCAUGGUGCUGUGCUGCUGUCACAGGAAGGAGCUGCUUCCUGCAGACCUCGCUGCUAUGUCCUGUUGCUAUCACCUUCACCCUGCUGUGCUCCAGUUUAGCAUCCUGCAGCCCUCUCCUGAAUUGCAGGCUCCUAAAGCUUCCCCUGGAGGUGCACAGCUUUGUACCUGCUGACUCCCGGUAAGCCUUCUUGCUCCUUUUGUGGGUUCCUUGUAGCCUGUUGAUGUGCUGCUUGAAAACCACUGACUUGAUGCAGCGCUUCAGGAGGUUCCUUGAUGUGGCUUCUCCUCUGCUUGGCAAAGAAAAACAGAGAACAGAGCAGACAGUGAGACUUUGAAUUGGAUUUUUCCAGGAGCUGAAAUGAAAUUGAGGUUAGGCUCUUCCUUGUCCAUGUCUCUUGGAUUGGUGCAACGUGGCUUGGUCACUCCAGGUGUGUUGAAGUCCUGUUUUCUGCUUGUAUAUGGGAAGUCACUCUGGCGUAGCUGAGUCCUCGAGCCAGCGUUUUGGGGUGGGAUUCUUCUUAAGUAGAAGCUUAGGAUGAUGGCGUCUUUAUCCUGCAUGCCUGACUCUUGACACAGUAGGUUUUUACUGACAGUCUUGGUCCGUGCCAACUGGAGAGGGUUACCUGGAGCACGGUGCUGCUUGGGCAUGCAGCAAGGAGACCAGAGUAAAAGUCACUCGUGGUAUGAGCAGAAGCAGAUAGCUCAGCUCUGCAGCCUGAGCUGAUCCAGGAGUAGGCACCUGCUGCCAUCUCAGUGCGUGAUCCAACUGAAAGCACAGGCAAACGUGGACGGAAGUUUGUAGGGACAGGAGUUGCUAAGCAUGUUGGUCCUGGUUUCACACUAACAGCACGAAAGCUGUCUGAGAGUGCAGGAAGAAGUUUGGUGGCUGCUACAAAAGUCGUUGCUUUGGGAAGCUUGAUGGUGUAAAUCUGCUCUAAAGUGAUGGUCAUGAGGACCAGCAAGAGUAACUGAAGUGGCUGGUGUCUUCCUGCCUGGCCUUUGUGAUCACAGCCAGCUGAGCUCAUUUCAAAGCACUCGUGAAGGCAAACAGCUGUCCUGUUUACCAUCUCUCCUCAGUGGGGAGGAAUGACCUGUGUCAGCAGGGCUGAAUUCUUCUCUUCUUUCCCUAGGCCUUGCUGGGAGGAGUGGAUGUGUGAACUCACCUCUAGGAGUGACCGGUGGCAGACCUUUUAGGAGUAGGAACACGGGCAGCUGCUGUCUAGAACAGCUAUGGUGCAUGGGCUUCUCCUGCAGGAAAGAGGCCCGCCUUCCAUUUGCUGUUGGCAGGCUUCAGAGCAGUCCCUUGCAUCGAAAAGCCAUACAAGAAAAGCACUGGAUGUAUUUUUAGAUGUCUUUUAAAGUGGCUGAAAAGCAACCUGUGUUGGGUCGCUCGCUGCAGUGCUGGAGCGGGCUGUGGGUGUGGGAUAGACCCAUCCGGAGACACGUGCAGUGGGGACUGCUUCACUGCUGCCAGGAUGCAGCUGUCUGUGGGAGCUGCUGCUGCUGGAGCAGUAGGGGCUGGCUGGGACAAUAGUGGGAAACAAGUGGGAGAUGUCCAGCUGAAACCAGUUUUAAUUUAUUUUUCCCUUAUCUGUUGCAGUUGUUUGGGUUUUCCUUGGCAGCUGCGGGCAGAACAGUUUGUGGCAGAGGAUUUUACAGAGCCCAAAAUUGGCAUGCUCUGAGUUGGUGCUGCGGGCAGAAGAGUCCUGCCUUCUCGUGCUGCUGCCAGGGAGCAGAAGUGCCCUUACAGAGCCCGCAUCCAGCAGGAACCUGUGCCAGGUGUCGGUGCUCUGGUCCCGCUCUGCAUGUGGCUUUCACUCCUGUGCCAGCACAAAGAGGAGUGGAAGAGCUUCCUCUGAAGGGGGCACCAGCUUAGAAGGACUGUGAAGCUGCCUUGUGUGGGUCUUCAGGCACGUCUGCCUGGCAGGAAGAGUUGGUCCAGCAAAUCCUUUCCUACCAGGUACUGAGUUGCUGGCAGUGGGUGAGGAUCCAUGCUGCUGAUGGAGCUGC